rnacentral:rRNA from 1 species
AAAACCGUGGGGCGGGGAUGUCAGGCGCCUGCUACCAUGCACGUCGAACGAUGAACCACUUCGGUGGGGAUUAGUGGCGAACGGGUGAGUAACACGUGGGCAAUCUGCCCUGCACUCUGGGACAAGCCCUGGAAACGGGGUCUAAUACCGUGAUACUGACCAUCUUGGGCAUCUUUGAUGGUCGAAAGCUCCGGCGGUGCAGGAUGAGCCCGCGGCCUAUCAGCUAGUUGGUGAGGUAAUGGCUCACCAAGGCGACGACGGGUAGCCGGCCUGAGAGGGCGACCGGCCACACUGGGACUGAGACACGGCCCACACUCCUACGGGAGGCAGCAGGGGGGAAUAUUGCACAGUGGGCGAAAGCCUGAUGCAGCGACCCCGCGUGAGGGAUGACGGCCUUCGGGUUGUAAACCUCUUUCAGCAGGGAAGAAGCGAAAGUGACGGUACCUGCAAAAGAAGCGCCGGCUAACUACGUGCCAGCAGCCGCGGUAAUACGUAGGGCGCAAGCGUUGUCCGGAAUUAUUGGGCGUAAAGAGCUCGUAGGCGGCUUGUCACGUCGGUUGUGAAAGCCCGGGGCUUAACCCCGGGUCUGCAGUCGAUACGGGCAGGCUAGAGUUCGGUAGGGGAGAUCGGAAUUCCUGGUGUAGCGGUGAAAUGCGCAGAUAUCAGGAGGAACACCGGUGGCGAAGGCGGAUCUCUGGGCCGAUACUGACGCUGAGGAGCGAAAGCGUGGGGAGCGAACAGGAUUAGAUACCCUGGUAGUCCACGCCGUAAACGGUGGGCACUAGGUGUGGGCAACAUUCCACGUUGUCCGUGCCGCAGCUAACGCAUUAAGUGCCCCGCCUGGAGAGUACGGCCGCAAGGCUAAAACUCAAAGGAAUUGACGGGGGCCCGCACAAGCGGCAGAACAUGUGUUUUAAUUCGACGCAACGCGAAGAACCUUACCAGGGCUUGACAUACCCCGGAAAGCAUCAGAGAGGGCGCCCCCUUGGGGUCGGUGUACGGGUGGUGCAUGGCUGUCCUCCCCUCGUGUCGAGAGAUGUUGGGUUACUCCCCCAACGAGCGCACCCUUGCCCGUGUGCCAGCACCCCUUCGGGGUGUGGGGA